rnacentral:rRNA from 1 species
UUUGGUUAAGUUAGAAAGGGCGCACGGUGGAUGCCUUGACACUAGGAGUCGAUGAAGGACGGGACUAACGCCGAUAUGCUUCGGGGAGCUGUAAGUAAGCUUUGAUCCGAAGAUUUCCGAAUGGGGAAACCCACCAUACGUAAUGGUAUGGUAUCCUUAUCUGAAUACAUAGGGUAAGGAAGACAGACCCAGGGAACUGAAACAUCUAAGUACCUGGAGGAAGAGAAAGCAAAUGCGAUUUCCUGAGUAGCGGCGAGCGAAACGGAACAUAGCCCAAACCAAGAGGCUUGCCUCUUGGGGUUGUAGGACAUUCUAUACGGAGUUACAAAGGAACGAGGUAGACGAAGCGACCUGGAAAGGUCCGUCGUAGAGGGUAACAACCCCGUAGUCGAAACUUCGUUCUCUCUUGAAUGUAUCCUGAGUACGGCGGAACACGUGAAAUUCCGUCGGAAUCUGGGAGGACCAUCUCCCAAGGCUAAAUACUCCCUAGUGAUCGAUAGUGAACCAGUACCGUGAGGGAAAGGUGAAAAGCACCCCGGAAGGGGAGUGAAAGAGAUCCUGAAACCGUGUGCCUACAAAUAGUCAGAGCCCGUUAACGGGUGAUGGCGUGCCUUUUGUAGAAUGAACCGGCGAGUUACGAUCCCGUGCGAGGUUAAGCUGAAGAGGCGGAGCCGCAGCGAAAGCGAGUCUGAAUAGGGCGUUUAGUACGUGGUCGUAGACCCGAAACCAGGUGAUCUACCCAUGUCCAGGGUGAAGUUCAGGUAACACUGAAUGGAGGCCCGAACCCACGCACGUUGAAAAGUGCGGGGAUGAGGUGUGGGUAGCGGAGAAAUUCCAAUCGAACCUGGAGAUAGCUGGUUCUCCCCGAAAUAGCUUUAGGGCUAGCCUUAAGUGUAAGAGUCUUGGAGGUAGAGCACUGAUUGGACUAGGGGUCCUCAUCGGAUUACCGAAUUCAGUCAAACUCCGAAUGCCAAUGACUUAUCCUUAGGAGUCAGACUGCGAGUGAUAAGAUCCGUAGUCAAAAGGGAAACAGCCCAGACCGCCAGCUAAGGUCCCAAAGUGUGUAUUAAGUGGAAAAGGAUGUGGAGUUGCUUAGACAACUAGGAUGUUGGCUUAGAAGCAGCCACCAUUUAAAGAGUGCGUAAUAGCUCACUAGUCGAGUGACUCUGCGCCGAAAAUGUACCGGGGCUAAAUACACCACCGAAGCUGCGGAUUGAUACCAAUGGUAUCAGUGGUAGGGGAGCGUUCUAAGGACAGUGAAGUCAGACCGUAAGGACUGGUGGAGUGCUUAGAAGUGAGAAUGCCGGUAUGAGUAGCGAAAGACGGGUGAGAAUCCCGUCCACCGAAUGCCUAAGGUUUCCUGAGGAAGGCUCGUCCGCUCAGGGUUAGUCAGGACCUAAGCCGAGGCCGACAGGCGUAGGCGAUGGACAACAGGUUGAUAUUCCUGUACCACCUCUUUAUCGUUUGAGCAAUGGAGGGACGCAGAAGGAUAGAAGAAGCGUGCGAUUGGUUGUGCACGUCCAAGCAGUUAGGCUGAUAAGUAGGCAAAUCCGCUUAUCGUGAAGGCUGAGCUGUGAUGGGGAAGCUCCUUAUGGAGCGAAGUCUUUGAUUCCCCGCUGCCAAGAAAAGCUUCUAGCGAGAUAAAAGGUGCCUGUACCGCAAACCGACACAGGUAGGCGAGGAGAGAAUCCUAAGGUGUGCGAGAGAACUCUGGUUAAGGAACUCGGCAAAAUGACCCCGUAACUUCGGGAGAAGGGGUGCUUUCUUAACGGAAAGCCGCAGUGAAUAGGCCCAAGCGACUGUUUAGCAAAAACACAGCUCUCUGCGAAGCCGUAAGGCGAAGUAUAGGGGGUGACACCUGCCCGGUGCUGGAAGGUUAAGGAGAGGGGUUAGCGUAAGCGAAGCUCUGAACUGAAGCCCCAGUAAACGGCGGCCGUAACUAUAACGGUCCUAAGGUAGCGAAAUUCCUUGUCGGGUAAGUUCCGACCCGCACGAAAGGUGUAACGAUUUGGGCACUGUCUCAACCAGAGACUCGGUGAAAUUAUAGUACCUGUGAAGAUGCAGGUUACCCGCGACAGGACGGAAAGACCCCGUGGAGCUUUACUGUAGCCUGAUAUUGAAUUUUGGUACAGUUUGUACAGGAUAGGCGGGAGCCAUUGAAACCGGAGCGCUAGCUUCGGUGGAGGCGCUGGUGGGAUACCGCCCUGACUGUAUUGAAAUUCUAACCUACGGGUCUUAUCGACCCGGGAGACAGUGUCAGGUGGGCAGUUUGACUGGGGCGGUCGCCUCCUAAAGUGUAACGGAGGCGCCCAAAGGUUCCCUCAGAAUGGUUGGAAAUCAUUCGUAGAGUGCAAAGGCAUAAGGGAGCUUGACUGCGAGACCUACAAGUCGAGCAGGGACGAAAGUCGGGCUUAGUGAUCCGGUGGUUCCGCAUGGAAGGGCCAUCGCUCAACGGAUAAAAGCUACCCCGGGGAUAACAGGCUUAUCUCCCCCAAGAGUCCACAUCGACGGGGAGGUUUGGCACCUCGAUGUCGGCUCAUCGCAUCCUGGGGCUGUAGUCGGUCCCAAGGGUUGGGCUGUUCGCCCAUUAAAGCGGUACGCGAGCUGGGUUCAGAACGUCGUGAGACAGUUCGGUCCCUAUCCGUCGUGGGCGUAGGAAAUUUGAGAGGAGCUGUCCUUAGUACGAGAGGACCGGGAUGGACGCACCGCUGGUGUACCAGUUGUUCUGCCAAGGGCAUAGCUGGGUAGCUAUGUGCGGAAGGGAUAAGUGCUGAAAGCAUCUAAGCAUGAAGCCCCCCUCAAGAUGAGAUUUCCCAUAGCGUAAGCUAGUAAGAUCCCUGAAAGAUGAUCAGGUUGAUAGGUUCGAGGUGGAAGCAUGGUGA